rnacentral:misc_RNA from 1 species
AGCAGCCGCGGUAAUUCCAGCUCCAAUAGCGUAUAUUAAAGUUGUUGCAGUUAAAAGCUCGUAGUUGAAUUUCGGGGUUAGCAGGUCGGUCGUGCCAUCGGUAUGAACUGGUCUCGCUGAUCCCUCCCUCUUGACGAACUGUGAUGCCAUUAAUUUGGUGUCGCAGGGAAUCAGGACUGUUACUUUGAAAAAUUAGAGUGUUUAAAGCAGGCUCACGCUUGAAUACAUUAGCAUGGAAUAAUGAAAUAGGACGUUUGAUCCUAUUUUGUUGGCUUCUAGGAUUGACGUAAUGAUUAAUAGGGAUAGUUGGGGGCAUUAGUAUUCAAUUGUCAGAGGUGAAAUUCUUGGAUUUAUUGAAGACUAACUACUGCGAAAGCAUUUGCCAAGGAUGUUUUCAUUAAUCAAGAACGAAAGUUAGGGAUCGAAGACGAUCAGAUACCGUGUAGUCUUAACCAUAAACUAUAGCCGACUAGGGAUCGGAUGUACGUUAAUUUUUAAUGUAUCAUUCC